AAAACUUUCGAGAAUGAAGUUUUCCGCUGAAUUUUUUGCUACAAUUGGAGCGGCCGUGAUGUGUCUGCUGGUAACAACAUCAGGAGUGAAACCACCUUUACUGGGAGAUUGGGGUUUUGUGGGGCCGAUAUAUAAAGAGUUCCAAGACGGUAUAUUGUCGGACAAGAACAACGCAGAUCUGGUUGACAUUCUUCUCGACUUGGGAUGUGACCCCCAAACUCUUUUCGUUCGGAGUUUAGCAUAUAAUUAUGCUGGAGAUUCUACCGAGGCAGUGCUUGAAGUGGAGUGUGGCUCUCAGCACAAAUGGAUAUAUGGGACGAGGCUUCUUGCAGACGUUCAGGGUGUUUUCUCCGAAAAUCCCAUUAUCUGAUGAUUUCGAUAAUUUAUAGUAUUAUUUAUAUUCGAUAAUUACAAGUCCGUUAAUUUAUCAAUUGUUGCUAUUUUUUAAACUGUUGAAAAUAUAUUCGUUGCGAUCAGCAGCUUAUUGCUUCGUAUCCAACGGCAAAAGAGAACCAACACCAAAUCUUCACUGACAAGCAAGGCCAGUAGAGACUUGCACUUUGAAUUCUAAAUUCAAGUUUCCAAUAUGCCCAAUUCGAAAAAAGAUUCAGUAUGUCCAAUCCAUAUCCUUAUUCAA